UGAGUGUGGGCCUCUCAUGAGAGCGCCGGUGAUAAGCCGAGAGAAAGGUGGGGAUGACGUCAAGUUCUCCGGCGCCUUACGGGGUGGGCCACACACGUGCUACAAUGGUGGUGACAGUGGGCAGCGAGCACGCGAGUGUGAGCUAAUCUCCAAAAGCCAUCUCAGUUCGGAUGCACUCUGCAACUCGAGUGCAUGAAGUCGGAAUCGCUAGUAAUCGCGGAUCAGAAUGCCGCGGGAAU
rnacentral:rRNA from 1 species